rnacentral:rRNA from 1 species
AAAUUGAAGAGUUUGAUCAUGGCUCAGAUUGAACGCUGGCGGCAGGCCUAACACAUGCAAGUCGAGCGGAAACGAGUUAUCWGAACCUUCGGGGAACGAUARCGGCGUCGAGCGGCGGACGGGUGAGUAAUGCCUAGGAAAUUGCCCUGAUGUGGGGGAUAACCAUUGGAAACGAUGGCUAAUACCGCAUGAUGCCUACGGGCCAAAGAGGGGGACCUUCGGGCCUCUCGCGUCAGGAUAUGCCUAGGUGGGAUUAGCUAGUUGGUGAGGUAAGGGCUCACCAAGGCGACGAUCCCUAGCUGGUCUGAGAGGAUGAUCAGCCACACUGGAA